GUUUUGAUUAAAUUUGUCAAGUGGAAACGGUUUUCUGUUCACUGAAAUGAACGUUGAAAAUCAGCCCAAUAUUGAUUAGACCAACUAAGAAAAGCUUAAGGAUAUUGUACUACUUUUAGAGAAAUAUAAUUCUACGUCUUAAAACAUCAAGUAAUUUUUCUCGGGGGAUAAGCUCAAAAAAAUAAUUGUGAAAAACAACGCUGAAGAUGGCUAAAUACCGAAACACUUCCUGGCACAAUCUAUCGAGUAUAACAAGACCAAAAUGAUUGGUAACGACCAGUUAUUUUUUAUCUACAAGAGGUCAUAUCAACCUUGGGAUA